AAAUUGAAGAGUUUGAUCAUGGCUCAGAUUGAACGCUGGCGGCAGGCCUAACACAUGCAAGUCGAACGGUAACAGGAAACAGCUUGCUGUUUCGCUGACGAGUGGCGGACGGGUGAGUAAUGUCUGGGGAACUGCCUGAUGGAGGGGGAUAACUACUGGAAACGGUAGCUAAUACCGC
rnacentral:rRNA from 1 species